rnacentral:hammerhead_ribozyme from 1 species
GUCCGGCUGGAGAGUCCCAAAUAGGACGAAACUCGCGUUCUGGAU